UAACACAUGCAAGCCGAGGGGUAAGUCUCUUUCGGGAGAACACGACCGGCGCACGGGUGAGUAACGCGUAUGCAACCUACCUUUGGCACGGGGACAGCCCGGGGAAACCCGGAUUAAUACCCGGUAUAGUCUAUUAUACACCUGUAUAAAAGACGAGAGCUACGGCGGCCAAAGAUGGGCAUGCGUGCCAUUAGUUAGUUGGUAGGGUAACGGCCUACCAAGGCAUCGAUGGCUACGGGGUCUAAAAGGAUGAGCCCGCACACUGGUACUGAGACACGGACCAGACUCCUACGGGAGGCAGCAGUGAGGAAUAUUGGUCAAUGGGUGGAAGCCUGAACCAGCCAUGCCGCGUGCAGGAAGACGGCCUUAUGGGUUGUAAACUGCUUUUCUACGGGACGAACGGCUCUGACGUGUCAGAGAUUGACGGUACCGUAGGAAUAAGCAUCGGCUAACUCCGUGCCAGCAGCCGCGGUAAUACGGAGGAUGCGAGCGUUAUCCGGAUUCAUUAGGUUUAAAGGGUGCGUAGGCUGGGCAAUAAGUCAGUGGUGAAAGUCCGCGGCUCAACCGUGGGAUUGCCAUUGAAACUGUCGUUCUUGAGUACAGUCGAGGUAGGCGGAAUGUGUAAUGUAGCGGUGAAAUGCGUAGAUCUGACCCAGAACACCGAUUGCGUAGGCAGCUUACCAGCCUGGAACUGACGCUGAUGCGCGAGAGCGUGGGGAGUGAACCGGGAUUCGAUACCCUGGUCGUCCACGCCGUAGCCGAUGAUCACUCGCUGUCGGCCAUGUGGAGUCAGCGGCUGAGCGAAGGCGUGCAGUGAUCCACC
rnacentral:rRNA from 1 species